rnacentral:rRNA from 1 species
UAGGGAAUCUUCCGCAAUGGACGCAAGUCUCUGGACGGAGCAACGCCGCGUGAGUGAAGAAGGUUUUCGGAUCGUAAAACCCUGUUGUUAGAGAAGAACAAGUGCUAGAGUAACUGUUAGCGCCUUGACGGUAUCUAACCAGAAAGCCACGGCUAACUACAUGCCAGCAGCCGCGGUAAUACGUAGGUGGCAAGCGUUGUCCGGAUUUAUUGGGCGUAAAGCGAGCGCAGGCGGUUCCUUAAGUCUGAUGUGAAAGCCCCCGGCUCAACCGGGGAGGGUCAUUGGAAACUGGGGAACUUGAGUGCAGAAGAGGAGAGUGGAAUUCCAUGUGUAGCGGUGAAAUGCGUAGAUAUAUGGAGGAACACCAGUGGCGAAGGCGACUCUCUGGUCUGUAACUGACGCUGAGGCUCGAAAGCGUGGGUAGCAAACAGGAUUAGAUACCCUGGUAGUCCACGCCGUAAACGAUGAGUGCUAAGUGUUGGAGGGUUUCCGCCCUUCAGUGCUGCAGUUAACGCAUUAAGCACUCCGCCUGGGGAGUACGACCGCNNNNUG